CUCUCUCUCUCUCUCUCUCUCAAGCCUCCUUCACUCUUCAGCUUUUAAUUAUUUUAAGAACACACAAAGAGAUACAUGUGCACGUGUAGACAUACUGAAUAUCUUAGAGACAUCAAUUUCUCUUGAAAACACAUGGCAAAUACAUAAAGCAAACAAAUCCUUACAGAAACAAAGAUUGGCAUAUAAGCUCAGCACAAGAACUAAAGGACAAGGAAGUAAAAAUGUCAUAUGGUUAUUUUUGGCAAACAGGAACAGUUACAAUAUUUCCCAACAUUUCAUCACUGUUUGGGAUAGAUGGAAAUAAUAGCAGAUCCAAUGGUGCUCUGUGAUCUUGGGUGCCCUCCUAGUCCAGACUCUCAUUCUCUCCCUAGUUAUGUUGCCUACUUUCUCCAAGUCCCUUCCUUUUCCCACUUCCACAUAUUAGUUCUCAUUUCUUUUGACUUUUUAUGUGCCCUCCUUAAGAGAGCAGAAUGAAAUUAUCUUAGCCAUAGCCCUGAGUCCUUGGGAUUAGACUACACCAAGCAUUUCUAUCCUAUCCUGCAAGUACUUUUCUCAGCUAUAUUCCAAUUUCUUGAAUAAGAGAGUGCUAUGAUCAAAAGAUAUGAACUAUGUAUGCCCAAAGGAUUAUAAACCCAUACAUAUCCUGUGAUUUAACAAUACUACUACUAGGUAUGCAUCCCAAAAGAGAUUAAAAAAAAAAAAAAAAGGCCCUAUAUUUAAAAAAAAAAAAAAAAACAUUUACAGCAGCAUUUUUUCCUCAGAGCAAAGAAUUGGAAACUGAGGGAAUGCUCAUCAUUUGGGGAAUGGCUGAAUAAUUGUGGUGGAAUGUUAUUGUGGGAAAUGAGGAGCAGAAUUCUCUCAGAAAAAUCUGGAAAGUUCUCCAUGAGCUCAUGAAGAAUGAAAUGUACUGUGUAUAAAAGUAAUAGCAAUAUUGUGGGACGCUCAGCUGUGAAUGACUUUGCUAUUCUUAGCAACACAGUGAUCCAUGACUACACUGAAGGAUUAAUAUUGAAAAAUGUUAUCCAUACACAGAAAAAGAACCAAUUAGAUUGACGUAUACAUACUAUUUUAAACAAAAUUUUUUCUUAAGGGUUUUUUUUUUUUUUUUGCAGGAAGGGGAGAUGUUUUUUCUUUUGUAAUGUGACUUUCAUGGAAAUAUUUUGCAUAGCUUCAUAUGUGCCUUCUUAAGGUGGGGUAGAGGGAGAGAAUUUGGAAUGCAAAGCUUUAAAAACAAAUGUAAAAUUGUUUUAUACAUAAUUGGGAAAAAUAAAAAAUAGUAAAACAUGAAAAAUUAAAGAGGGUGCUAUAUUCCUCCCCUGGGUCAAGAAUUUUGCAAUUGUACACCAAAUCAUGAAAAUAAUAUCAAUACCUAACAGAAUAAGGUAUCACAAGAACUUAACCUAGGGUACUAUUCAUAGCAAAUAUAUAUCAAGAAUACAUGCAAUACUGUAAUCAUCAGAAUAAGAUAGUAGUGGUUUAGAAAUUAAGAGAAAUGAUUAUUUUUCUAUUAUUAAUAACCAAUGAUUAAAUUAGAAUUGAGGUGUUUUUUUUCCCCUUUCUUUCUUUAUUCAGGGACCAGACCUUGUGAGUUAGUCCCUUUCUGAAGGACUAGGCUGAUGAUGAGAUCAACCUUAAUACUCAGUCCUGGGCAAGACCCCACUCAACUGGGAGAGUUUAUUUCUGAUUAAAGUGUAAAGUGAUUUGCUUGCUGGAGCCAUUGAGAGCAGUGCCGCGGAGGAGAGCUGAGGCAGGACAACAUAAAAACCCGGUAUGUAAGUGGGAGUGAAGGGGCAUGAUGGAGGAUAAAAGAACUCAGGGGGCAUGAUGGAGGAUAAAAGAAGAACUCAGCCAGCACUCACCGUGCUAAAGAAAUGAAGAACUUCCUUGCAGAAAGAAGAAUAUAUAAAGUAAUGAUUCCUGCAGGAAUGACUGCCUAUCUCCAGACCCUUGAUAUUGCAAUAAACAAGCCAUUCAAGGACCAUUUGCGCAUGGAAGUCAAUGACUACACUGAAAAUAGAAUGGAAAGAAAUCAGCGUGGAAACUUUGUGAAGCCCUGUCUGCAAGAAGUCAUGACUUGGGUGAAGAAGUCAUGGGAUAAAAUUACUGACAGCUGUGUCGCCAAGGCACUACGAACAGGUUACCUAGACAAGACAUGUUCAUUUAAAGAGAGCUAUAUUACUGGACAUGACAGAUUGGGUCCACUUCUUCUGAAGGAAAUAGAGGCGCAAGACAUCCAGGAUGGAAUUCAGGGUAUGGACACUUAUGAUGAUGUUGUUGAAGAAGAUGACAUGAUCAUUAUUGAAUAAAGGUACUUUUUUUUGUUCACAUUUACCUGUUUAUUAAAAUUGCUGUCAAUGUUCAUUAAAAUAAGCCCUCCCCUGAAAAUAAGCCCUCUGGUGUUUUUCUGUCCAAAAAAUUAAUGAGACGGUGUCUUAUUAUCGGAGAAACACGGUAGUACAUAUAGAUAGAUGUUUAAUACAUAUUUGCUGAAUUGAAGUAUUAGAAAUGAAUCUUUUUUCUUCUAAACUGAAUGUCCUGAAUUCUUUUGAAAUAUACACAGAGACAUACAUUCACACAAAAAUAUAAAUAUAAGAGAGGAAAAGGAUCCACUUAUGCAAAAAUGUUUGCAGCAGCUUCUUUUUUGUGUGGCCAAAAAUUGGAAAAUGAGUAGAUGCCCAUCAACUAGGGAAUGACUGAAUAAGUUAUGGUAUAGGAAAGUAAUGGAAUAUUUAUUAUUGUUCUAUAAAAAAAGAUGAGUGGGCUAAUUUUAGAAAAGCCUGAAAUGAUUUAUAUAAACUGGUGCUGAGUGAAGCAAGUAGAAUAAGGAGAACACAAGAUUGUGAUGACCAACUAUGGUAGACUUGGUUCUUCUCAGCAAUUCAGUGAUCCAUGGUAAUCCCAAUAAACAUUGGAUGAAAAUUGUCAUCCACAAUCAGAGACUUGUAGAGACUAAAUGUGGAUCAACACAUCCUAUUUUCACCUUUUUUUCUUGUUUUUUCUUUCUCAUUUUUUCCUUUUCCUUCUGAUUUUUCUCUCCCAACCUGACUCAUAUGGAAAUAUAAUCUAAAAAAUAAAAUAAUUACAAAGACAUAGGCAUAGGCAGUGAAUGUAGUAGGCUUCCUGGCAGAAAGAAGUUACACUUAGGCAGAGGGAGACAGCCCACCUUAAGGAGCAGUGUCUGGUGAAGGGAGUUUUGGAAUGAAAAGGCAUAUGACAGUUGACUGACAUACCUUUUCCAGAAUUAAAAGUCAUAUGGAUUUAAUUUCUGCCCAAAACAAGAGAUGAAAGGGAACAGGAGUUGAGAAUACUGCAGAGUAAAGUAGAUGGCAAGAUGGCCAGAGUGAACUGCUGAAUGGUAUGUGAAGAAUGGUCUGUUAUGAAUCUGACCAGAUCUAAUAGUGAAUUUGCCAGAGCUCACUCACUCGUUCACCAGUUUAUAAAGCUCAGCACUAGCCUUGGAGUUCGAAAACUAAACUAAUUAAUUACCCCUAGGCAUAGAGAAAGUUACCUCUAGGAUAAUAUUCUAGUUGUAGAAAAACAGAAAAAUAGCAAGACAAAUGGCUCAGGUAAAAGGCCAGAUAGAUAGGAUGUGACAAAAAAUGAGAUUUCCUGCCCUCAAGGAACUAAAAAUGAGAUUUCCUGCCCUCAAGGAACUACAUUUGGAAUGUGAACUUUUUGGUACCUUAUACCAAAAGUAUAAGUGGUUCAUACCUUAUAUUUUUAUUCCUAACACCUACCACAGAGCCUGUACAUAGUAGGUACUUAAUAAAUGCUUUUUGGAUAGUUGAUUGAUUGAUAUAGGGAAAGAUCUUCAGACCAAAAUAGUCUCUGGAGUUUAUAAUGUGAAGUUAGAAUGUUUCCAUGGAAACUUUU